AACAUCCGCAGCAACACUGACAGCUCAAGGAGAAGCACCUGCAAACCUCGCUACUGGUUCCAGUGCACAAAGUCUGUGCAACAUUGACGAGGAGAAUGAGCCAAGUUUGGCCACUACCCAGCGUGCAGAGAGACCAGGAGGGAGAGAUGAAACUGGAAACAUCGCCUUGUCACAGCAAGCGAGUACAUCUGAGACAAGUACAUCUGAGACACAAGUGGAAAAGGAACUGCGUUCUCUGACUGGGCAGCAUGUAUGUUCUCAGUGUGGCUUCUU